ACGGGAGGCAGCAGUGAGGAAUAUUGGUCAAUGGACGUAAGUCUGAACCAGCCAAGUAGCGUGCAGGAUGACGGCCCUAUGGGUUGUAAACUGCUUUUGUGCGUGAUUAAAGUGCGGCACGCGUGCCGUAUUGCAGUUAGCGCACGAAUAAGGACCGGCUAAUUCCGUGCCAGCAGCCGCGGUAAUACGGAAGGUCCUGGUGUUAUCCGGAUUUAUUGGGUUUAAAGGGAGCGUAGGCCGUCGGUUAAGCGUGUUGUGAAAUCCAGGGGCUCAACCCCUGGCCUGCAGCGCGAACUGGCUGACUUGAGUACACGCAAGGCAGGCGGAAUUUGUGGUGUAGCGGUGAAAUGCUUAGAUAUCACGAAGAACCCCGAUUGCGAAGGCAGCUUGCCGGAGUGUGACUGACGCUGAAGCUCGAAGGUGCGGGUAUCGAACAGGAUUAGAUACCCUGGUA
rnacentral:rRNA from 1 species